UACAGAGGUCCCGAGCGUUGUUCGGAUUCACUGGGCGUAAAGCGCGUGUAGGCGGUCCGGUAAGUCGGUUGCGAAAGUCCAGGGCUCAACCCUGGGAUGCCGACCGAUACUGUCGGACUAGAGUUCGGAAGAGGCGAGUGGAAUUCCCGGUGUAGCGGUGAAAUGCGCAGAUAUCGGGAGGAACACCAAUGGCGAAGGCAGCUCGCUGGGACGUUACUGACGCUGAGACGCGAAAGCGUGGGGAGCAAACAGG
rnacentral:rRNA from 1 species